UACGAAGGGGGCUAGCGUUGCUCGGAAUCACUGGGCGUAAAGCGCACGUAGGCGGGUAGCUAAGUCAGGGGUGAAAUCCUGGAGCUCAACUCCAGAACUGCCUUUGAUACUGGCGGCCUUGAGUCCGGGAGAGGUGAGUGGAACUGCGAGUGUAGAGGUGAAAUUCGUAGAUAUUCGCAAGAACACCAGUGGCGAAGGCGGCUCACUGGCCCGGUACUGACGCUGAGGUGCGAAAGCGUGGGGAGCAAACAGG
rnacentral:rRNA from 1 species